UAGGGAAUUGUUCGCAAUGGGCGCAAGCCUGACGACGCAACGCCGCGUGGAGGAUGAAGACCUUCGGGUCGUAAACUCCUUUCGACCGAGAUGAAGAGCUGUCGACCUAACACGUCGACAGCCUGACAGUAUCGAGGGAAGCAGCCCCGGCUAACUCCGUGCCAGCAGCCGCGGUAAUACGGGGGGGGCAAGCGUUGUUCGGAAUUACUGGGCGUAAAGGGUUCGUAGGUGGCCAACUGAGUCAGACGUGAAAUCCCUCAGCUCAACUGGGGAACUGCGUCUGAUACUGGUUGGCUUGAGUGCAGGAGAGGAAUGCGGAAUUCCAGGUGUAGCGGUGAAAUGCGUAGAUAUCUGGAGGAACACCGGUGGCGAAGGCGGCGUUCUGGACUGCAACUGACACUGAGGAACGAAAGCCAGGGGAGCAAACGGGAUUAGAUACCCCCGUAGUCC
rnacentral:rRNA from 1 species